AGAGUUUGAUCCUGGCUCAGAGUGAACGCUGGCGGUAGGCCUAACACAUGCAAGUCGGACGGCAGCACAGUAAGAGCUUGCUCUUACGGGUGGCGAGUGGCGGACGGGUGAGGAAUACAUCGGAAUCUACUUUUUCGUGGGGGAUAACGUAGGGAAACUUACGCUAAUACCGCAUACGACCUACGGGUGAAAGCAGGGGAUCUUCGGACCUUGCGCGAUUGAAUGAGCCGAUGUCGGAUUAGCUAGUUGGCGGGGUAAAGGCCCACCAAGGCGACGAUCCGUAGCUGGUCUGAGAGGAUGAUCAGCCACACUGGAACUGAGACACGGUCCAGACUCCUACGGGAGGCAGCAGUGGGGAAUAUUGGACAAUGGGCGCAAGCCUGAUCCAGCCAUACCGCGUGGGUGAAGAAGGCCUUCGGGUUGUAAAGCCCUUUUGUUGGGAAAGAAAUCCAGCUGGUUAAUACCCGGUUGGGAUGACGGUACCCAAAGAAUAAGCACCGGCUAACUUCGUGCCAGCAGCCGCGGUAAUACGAAGGGUGCAAGCGUUACUCGGAAUUACUGGGCGUAAAGCGUGCGUAGGUGGUCGUUUAAGUCUGUUGUGAAAGCCCUGGGCUCAACCUGGGAACUGCAGUGGAAACUGGACGACUAGAGUGUGGUAGAGGGUAGCGGAAUUCCUGGUGUAGCAGUGAAAUGCGUAGAGAUCACGAGGAACAUCCAUGGCGAAAGCAGCUACCUGGACCAACACUGACACUGA
rnacentral:rRNA from 1 species